UAUAUAUUGAUACUAUAUGAUUAUUUGCAGGUAUUUGCAGUCAGAGAAGCUUGUUGGAAUUGCGGCUGGCAUAGAAACUCCUUGGGAACGUUGAUACGCUUAGAUAUUUUAAUAAUAAUUCAACGCACCCAAGUACCCUCCUUAUUAAACUCAGCGGCAUGUCGACUGUAGAGCUAGAAACAUUUUCUUCGAUAAUGAGUGCUGCUUAUUCUUAUUUCAACAUGCUGAGGAACAGUAAUUAAACAAUGUUGUAAUUAUAUCCACAAUGGUUUAUGGUUUUAUGCACUAUGAUUUUGUCUAUGAACAAGAAGAAUAAAUUAGAAACAAUUUCGUUUGUUGUCACUUAACAUGUCAUAUAAUUUAUGAAACAAAUAAGUGGGCACUUUCUUUUAUUUAUAAAUCUUAAUAAAUAAACUUACUACAUACUA